UACUCUUUUGCAAAAUUCCAACUGAGUUUUCUUCCACUUGCUGCAUUUGCAAAGGCAAAAGAGGGUGGAAAAAGUCAAAAAACUUACCAUCAUGGCAGCUGAAUUGGUGGCCAGGGCUUUUCUCACUGCUUUUGUGGAUACUUUGUUCGACAGGAUGGCCUCUCGUGAGAUGCUAGACUUCAUCAAGGGAGUAAAACAGAGCAAUGGCCUUAAUCUCCAACCGGACAAGUUGAAGAUGACAUUGCGAUCUGUCGAUGCUCUGGUCAAUCACGCAGAAGAGAGGCAGGCUGCAGAUUUGCAUGUCCUCGAAUGGGCGAAUGAUCUUAAAGAUGCCAUGUUUGAAGCCGAGGACGUUUUGGAUCAGAUCAUUACAACUAUAUCAGCUUCAAAUCUGAAAAUGGAAGCUGAAUUAGGGAUUGGAAUCAAUAAAAAGGUGAGUUGCUUUUCGCCUUCUGCCCUUGGUGAGUUUAGUGAUGGGAUUAAUGUGAUAAUUGAGAAGUUAGAAAAUUUAAUGAAACAAAAAGAUGUUCUGGGUUUGAGGGAACGUGUCAGUGGUAUUCCUUCAAAAAAAUUUCAAACAACUUCUUUAGCAGGAAAGUCUAGUAUUUAUGGAAGAGAUUAUGAUAAACAGUCUAUUAUCAAGCUGUUGCUUUCAGAUUGGUGCUGAUAAGAUUUGUGUCUCCCCAUAGUGGGGAUUGGUGGGGUUGGGAAGACCACCCUUGCUCAAGUUGUGUACAAUGAUGACAUGGUGAAGGAGUAUUUUGACCAAGUAUGGGUUUGUGUUACCCAAGAAUUUGAUGUCUCUAAUGACAAGGACUAUUCUAGAGGCAAUCCCUCUAACAUGUGAUGCAUUAGAUCUUAAUCAUCAACAGAUCAAGCUCAAGGAGUUCCUCAAGAAAUUUCUCAUUGUUUUAGAUGAUGUAUGGAACGAGAACUAUAUUGUUUGGGAAACCUUACGGCGUCCUUUUGAAUAUGGGGCACAAGGAAGUAAGAUCAUAGUCACAACACGAAGUGAAAUUGUUGCAUCAACCAUGCUCACUGUUCCAAUUUAUCAUUUAAAACCAUUGUCAGAUGAUGAUUGCUGGUUGUUAGUUGCAGAGCAUGCAUUUGAAGGGAUUGAAUUGGAUACAUUUGCUAAAUUGAGAGAUAUAGGGAGAAAUAUAGUGAAAAAAUGUAGUGGACUACCAUUGGCAGCUAAAGCGCUAGGGGGUCUCUUGCGCUCUAAAAGGGAUGAAAGUGAAUGGGAAAAGGUAUUGAAAUGUGAUAUAUGGGAUUUUCCAGAUGGUAGAAGCAAUGUCCUUCCUGCUCUUAUGUUAAGCUAUCACCAUCUUCCAUCACAUCUAAAGCGAUGCUUCGCCUAUUGUUCCAUGUUUCCAAAGAACUAUCAAUUUAAAUGGAAGGAACUAGUGCCCUUAUGGAUGGCGGAAGAUUUUCUGCUUCUGCAACAUUCCAAUAGAAAAAGGAGAAUGGAAGAAGUUGGUAAAGAAUACUUCAAUGAACUGGCAUCUAGGUCAUUCUUUCAGCAAUCAAGUAAAAAGUGCUUCUUUAUUCAUGACCUUAUGGGUGACCUGGCCGAAUUUGUCUCUGGAGAAUUCACCUUCAGAUUAGAGGGGGUAAAGCCACAUGGCAUGUAAAAAAAAAAAACUCGUCACAUGUCAUAUUCCAAGGUGAAAUUCGAUGAUUUAGAGAAUAUUAUGGCCAUAUGUGAAAAUCUGCGUACCUUUCUCCCAUCACAAGUGUUAUCAUGGUCUAGAUGCUUAAAUGAUGAGGCUUUAAGUGGCUUACUUUCAAAACUAACAAGGUUGAGGGAACUUUCCCUCUCUAACUGCCGCAAUUUCACAGUUAUUCCAGAUGCAAUUGGUAACUUGAUACAUUUAAGAUAUUUAGACCUCUCUUCAACAUCCAUCUGCAAGUUACCAGACUCUGUAGGUUCUUUGAACAAUUUGCAGACUUUGCUGCUGACAAAUUGUUCGUACCUUACUGAAUUGCCUUUCAAUUUGGGAAGGCUAACCAAUCUCAGAUGUUUGGAUAUAAGUGGAACAAAAUUAAGUCAGAUGCCACAGCAUAUGGGUAGAUUGAAAAAUCUUCAGAUAUUAACAGUAUUUGUUCAAGGUAAUAGAUGUGGGUCGAGCAUCAAAGAGUUGAAGGAACUUCAAUUUCUUCGAAAAAAGCUCACUAUUUCCAAUCUGCAACAUGUUGCUAGUCCUCAAGAUGCCAUGAUGGCUAAUUUGGUCGAUAAAGAGAAGCUUAAUGAAUUGGUGUUGAAAUGGAAUGGGACCGCAAAUAAUUCAGAAGAAGUUAGAAGUGUACUUCGUCACUUGCAACCUCCUAAAGCCUUGAGGAAACUUACCAUGAAAGGUUAUGGGAGCACAUCGUUCCUAGACUGGUUAGGUGGAUGCCAGUUUUUAAAUUUAGCAUCCCUAUGCAUUGAUGACUGUACAACUUGUGUUCUCUUGCCACCAAUUGGGCAAUUGCCGUCCUUCAAAGCUCUCUCGUUAACACGGCUUUCACUUGUAGUUUCUAUUGGUGAUUCUUUUUAUUACAUUCCUUCUGACCAAGUUGAGCCAUCUCGCAGAAAUGCAGUUAGACCAUUCAGGUCCCUUCAAACUUUGCGCUUUGAGAACAUGACCCAGUGGCAAGUAUGGCUUCCUUUUACGGUAAUAGAUGAAAAGGCAGAUGGAGCAUUUCCUUGUCUUCAACAGCUUUAUAUAAAAAAUUUCCCAAAAUUGAAGGGCUUGCCCAAAUAACUCCCUUUUCUAGCCAAACGGGUGAUUUCAAAGUGUGAGCAACUUGUAGCCACUGUUACCCCAACAAUCUGGGAUUUGCAGUUGAAAGACUGUAAAAAGGUAUCAAUGAAGGAACUGCCACCUCGUUUGUUGAAUUUUUCAAUUGGUGGAUAUGAUUCUUUUGAGUUGCCAUUUGGGGUUGCAGACAACAGGAAUUGUUCUGUUGAAAAGCUAAGCAUCACAAGCUGCCAGGUAAUUCAUCAGCUUCCUCAAAUUGGCCUUGCUAACACAUUGAAGUCACUCAACGUUGCAAACUGUGGGAUUUUUGAGCUUCCCAUGAACCAAUAUUUUUCAACUCUUGAGCGUUUGUGCAUAAAAUUUAGCUUUGGUUGUCUCAAGUCCUUGAUUUUAAGUUUCUUUCCAAAGCUGAGCCAUCUUGACCUUAAAGGAUGUCAGAAUCUGGAGUCUCUUUCAACUUCAGGGGAUCACUUGCAGCAUUUUCCAUCUCUCACCUCCAUAAGGAUAAGUAAUUGUCCUGAUUUUGUUUCUUUUCCAGAAGGUGGACUCUCAGCUCUAAACCUCACUUAUCUCUUCAUUGACAAUUGCAAGAAUUUAAAGUCAUUGCCCCAUCAGAUGAGUAACCUGCUUCCUUCUCUAGUGACUUUGAAUAUAUUUCUCUGUCCAGAGCUUGAGCUGUUUCCAGCAGAAGGACUGCCAGAAGGUUUACGUUCAUUAGAGAUCAAUCGCUGUGACAAGCUCUUUGCUGAGAGAGAGAACUGAGAUUUGCAAAGACUCCCUUCUCUUCGAAGCUUUGGCAUCAAAGGUGCGUGCAAAGAUGGGGAAUCCUUCCCAGAAGAAUGGUUGCUUCCAUCUUCUCUUAUAUACGUAAACUCCAGAAUUUUAAGUGUUGAAUGGACAUGGGAUUCAGAAGUUGACCUCUCUACAGUCAUUGGGGAUAGGAGACUGUUCAGAACUUCAGUGCGUACCAGAAAAACUUCCAGCCUCCCUUUCUGCCCUGCAUGUAUGGAAUUGCCCGUUGCUUGAACCAAGAUGCAACGGGGAAAAAUCUGAAGGUUGGCCCAAAAUUGCUCACAUUCCCCGCAUACGUAUCAACAGAAGAUUAAUCAGAUAUGGCUAAACUUCAUACUCGGGACAUGUUUCAGUCCCUGUUCAGAAUCUUGCAAGACUUGUUGGGCCACUGAUUGUGAGUGAAUGAAAGCCAUGUGGCUGAGGCAGAAAUCAUCGUGAUCUAAGACCCCUGUUAACUGACUUAAGAUGCGUUCUAGCAGCUUCUGGAAUGCGGCAUUUACUUUGCACCAGUUUGUUCUUUGCAAUCUCAGAGGCAAGAUUUUUCUAUGUUGCUUCAACUUUCAAAAGAUAUGAUAGAACAAAAACUACUAUGUCUGUUAAUAAUUUAUAUUUUUUAUGGCACUUGAUCUAUUGAUGAUCUCGUAUCCGCACUACAUGUGAAAACACUUUUGUGUAGACUUGGUCAAUUGGUCUUGUAAAAAUUGGUAGAUUAUGAUAGUAGUAAUUUAACAUGUGUGUUUAACUACUUAUACUAGUUCAAUCUGCCAAAAUUUACAUGCUAAAAGUCUAUUUGAGAUAUACACCUUCCUUUAAUUUCUUACUGUGAUUUAGCAUAAAAGAGCUGGUAUGUAAAUUUUUAAUAAUUCAUGAAUUUCCUUUAAGGAAAUAUAACUACCACAUGCUUAUUUCUUUUUGGCCUUCUUCUAAUGAUCUAUAAAAUUUUACUGGACCAGAGUUGUCUCUAGAUCCAUGGGUUCUGACCUUUCCAGGUGAACAAAAAGAAAACCUACUUUGUGUACACCUGGAGAGGCCAGAAGCUUAACAUCAGGAGACAAUAUGUACCCAUUUUUACUCUAUUAUGUGCAUUGAAACUAGGCUACCAUACUCAACUAGGAUCCUCUUGGAAUCUGCACAACUUAACUGCGAUGAUUCAGAAAUUUCCAAGGAUGAUGGUGGAAGGAUUAUUGAUUGGAAAAAUGCAUGCAUCACUCAAGCAAAGUUGAAUUUCAUUUCAAGCUCAACCCCUUCUCAUUGUAGGUUCGGAAUGUUGAAGAAGGUUUUGAAGACAAUUGUUCAUAACAGAAGGAAAUAAACGAUCAAUUUUUUUUUAUUGUAUAUUCUGAUAGGAUGAAUCUGCUGAUUGCCAAUAGAUUGAGAAUGAGAAUACUGAUUCAUAUUGUGUAAUUGAUGUUCUUCCCUCUGAAUAAUGAACAAGACUAUUGAGUCAAUAAAAAAAGAUAGA